rnacentral:rRNA from 1 species
CCUACGGGCGGCUGCAGUGAGGAAUAUUGGUCAAUGGCCGGAAGGCUGAACCAGCCAUGCCGCGUGAAGGUCAGUGCUCUAUGGGCGUUAAACUUCUUUUGUGCGGGAGCAAUAAUGGUCACGUGUGGCCAGACGAGAGUACCGUACGAAUAAGCAUCGGCUAACUUCGUGCCAGCAGCCGCGGUAAUCCGGGGGAUGAAAGCGUGAUCCGGUUUUAAUGGGUUUAAAGGGUGCGUAGGCUGUGAGGUAAGUCAGCGGUGAAAUGCCCCCGCUCAACGGGGUGAAGUGCCAUUGAUACUGCCUUGCUGGAAUGCGGAUGCCGUAGGAGGAAUGUGUGGUGUAGCGGUGAAAUGCAUAGAUAUCACACAGAACACCGAUUGCGAAGGCAUCUCACGAAUCCGCGAUUGACGCUGAUGCACGAAAGCGUGGGUAUCAAACAGGAUUAGAUACCCUUGUAGUC